rnacentral:rRNA from 1 species
AUGGCGGCGCCGCCGCCGAUAGACGAGCCUCUGCGGCUGCCGCCUCUCCCGGCGGACACCAUCUUGGAGAUCUUGUCCCGCGUGGGCGACGCUACCGCCGUCGUGCGCUGCGCAGCCACCUGCAAAGCAUGGCGCCGCCUCAUCCUGGAGCCGUCCUUCCUCUCCCGCGGUCGCGCCGGGCGCUCCGACCCCUCCCCUCUCCUCGGCUUCUUCUUCCUGGACACUUCCCAGAAGCUGCCCCGUCGCCGCCUCUACCUCCGCCGCCCCACGCGCUUCCUCCCCCUCGGCCCCUCUCAGUCGCAGGCAACCGCCCUCCCCCUGUCCCACUUCUUGCCGAAGCCGGACGCGGCCGGCCUCAGCGGGUUCGCCCCCGUCACGUCAGGCGCCGGCGGGCUCCUUGCCCUCCGCCGUUCCCCGGCCAGCUCGUGCGACCCCGUCAGGAUCUGCGUCUGCGACCCCGUGGCCGGGACCUCCACCUUCCUCCCCCCUCUCCCGCCCACAACAUCCCCCGAGAACAUCGUCUUCCUCGACGCCGAUGGCUCCUCGUUCCGCCUCCUUGCGGCGAUGGACCGCCCAAAUGGGAUCCGCCUGCGCGUCUUCUCCUCCCAGACCGGGCAGUGGGGCACGGCUGUGACGGCCCAACUUCCUGGUAACAUGGUGGUCCACCUCUGCUCCCCUGCCGUCGUGCACCGUGGUGCCGUCCACUGGAUAUGCGGCACCCGUGCCCUCCCGAAUGCGGUGCACGCACUGGCCGUUCGCCCCGGCCAGGCCGAUGUCUCGGUGUGCCGAUUCGACCUUCCGCUGCGCGCAGGCAUUCACCGCCUGAACCACGCCGCAGAAGCCGUUCGCCUGUUCAGUUCAGCUCAGGGGUGUCUCUCCUUGGUUCUUCUGGAUGAACCUUUGAUCUCCGUCUGGAACUUCAAAGACAAUGGCGCUGAUGGCAGGCCCUGGGAGCUUCACAAGACGGUACAUCUGAUGUCGGUGUUGCCGUCGACAAUCUUUGAUCCUUCUGCGGAGUGGGGGCUCUCUGUCGUAGCAUCGUGCGACCAGAGUGGCUCCUUGUUUUUGCGUGCUGUGGGUGAGGGCGGCCUGUUUGUGCUCAACCUGGAGACGGAGGCGAUGUCGAGGGUACGCAACGACCACUGCGCCAAGUUCCUGUGCCCAUAUGUGGCGAAUCUGAGUUCUUGCCUGGGAGCCAUGAAGAAUUUCUGA